GCGAGUGACCGGGAUGAGCUCAAAUUUGAAAUCUGGCGUCUUUCAGGCGUCCGAGUUGUAAUCUAUAGAGGCGUUUUCCGCGCCGGACCGCGUCCAAGUCUCUUGGAAUAGAGUAUCAAAGAGGGUGACAAUCCCGUACUUGACGCGACAACCGGUGCUCUGUGAUACGUUCUCAAUGAGUCGAGUUGUUUGGGAAUGCAGCUCUAAAUGGGUGGUAAAUUCCAUCUAAGGCUAAAUAUUGGCGAGAGACCGAUAGCGAACAAGUACCGUGAGGGAAAGAUGAAAAGCACUUUGGAAAGAGAGUUAAACAGCACGUGAAAUUGUUAAAAGGGAAACGAUUGAAGUCAGUCGUGUGGGAAGUAUUCAGCCGUCUCUGGCGGUGUAUUUGCUUCUCACGGGUCAACAUCAGUUUGAUCCGGUAGAAAAAGGCGGGAAGAAGGUGGCACCCUCGGGUGUGUUAUAGCUUCCUGUCAUAUGUGCCGGACCAGACUGAGGAACGCAGCUUGCAGCAAUGCCGGGGUUCGCCCACGUACAAGCUUAGGAUGUUGACAUAAUGGCUUUAAACGACCCGUCUU
rnacentral:rRNA from 1 species